AGCCGCCAGCCGCCCGCAGUCAUCCUCUUCGUCUCACUGCCGGUCUGAACUCUGAAGUCUGAACUCUGAAGGAACUAAGGAAGUAGGAACAGAACAGACCCGCGGCUGUCUCUCAUCGCCGUCGCCAUUGCCGCGCCGUCGUCCUCGCCCUUGCUGCGCCGUCGAACUCGCCCUUGCUGCGCCGUCAAACUCGCCGUUGCCUCGCUCUUCUGCUCUGUCAAACAGGGUGAAGACCUUAUUUUG